rnacentral:lncRNA from 1 species
CCAAUUUUGAGAUCUGAAUUUAAGAAAUGCAUGAUCAAAGUGACUCAGGUCUGCUACUCCCAUAUAGAUAAUUAGACUCUGGCUAAUUAUUAACAAAGUAUUGCCAAACAGAUGUGUUUACCUUGGUGCAUUUCUGCCAAUUUAUUAAAAAUUCUAACGGGGAUGUUGGUGGGGUGGUAGUAGUGCAAUUAGCAAAGCAAUGGACUUUUUGCUGUUUUUACUCUAUUUUUUUACAAUUUAUUUUUUAAGUGUUUAGGUCUUUAGAGGCAAGUAUUUACAUAUUUCAUUAAAACAGUUGGUUCUUAAAGUUAAAUGUAGGUUGAAUAUCCAAUGCAAUUUGGUGUUGUUGCCUUGCUUUUUCUUUAAUUUUAAAGUUAGUUUUUCAGAGAGGUAUAGAUACCACCCAAAUAUUCCAGAAAAGUUUUAUGAAAGGGAGGAGUCAUGGUGCCUGCCCCUUAGUCCUUCGCCUUUUGCCUUUAGCCCCUCCAUAUUUUUCCUCUACAAUAAUAUGCAUAUAUCUGGAGUUGCAGCAACCAUUUGUGAUGAAGAUUUUAAAAGUCACAUGAAAAAGUUUGCAGAGCAAUAAGAUAGAAGGAGCCUGGUUCCUGAUACAUCCUUGAGCAGAUGUUGUAGCCCUGGGCUAAAGUUCUUGUUAUAUGAGAAAAAAAUAAAUUAAGGUGCUGUCUGUCAGCUUAAGUCUUUCUAACAUCCUAAUUAUUCCAUCUUGAUUUGGAUGUCUACCCUAGAACCAACCAACAAUGGCCAGGAGGAGAGGAUGGAAUCAUAUUAGAACAUGAUGACCUCCCACCAUAACUGGGGGGAAUGGAGUGAGGCAACAGAGAGAAACUAAAAAUGCAAGAAUAUGCACCACUAGGAGACCCCACGGACAGAGCCCAGACCUGUUACUAUGAUGAAGAGUCUGAUGUACCUGUUUACAUCCCCUUUUUCCAAGACCAAGCAGAGGUGAAGAGACAACAGGCAAAGCAGUUCAUAAAAUAUCUAAAAGAGCGUCAGAGUAAAGUCUGCCUUCCGGUGACUAAGAGGCCUGACGUAGAGUCCUGGGGAACUGACCUGCAAGCUAUAGUGAUCGCUCUGGAGUUGGAAAAGGCAUUACACAAACACCUGCAAGACCUGAAGAGCUUGGCUUCUAAGAAUAGUGAAACCGAUCUCUUAGAAUUCCUGAAAAAGUUCUUGGAUAAACAAAAAAGGAACAUAAAGUAUCUGGAAUACCAGCAUAGCUAUCAGAAGGAUUUAGAAAGGCUGACUGCGAUGGAAGGCUCAUCUGAACAGCUUGCCGCAGCGUCAGGCAAAGAGGCUUAACGUCUGAAAGCAGCACAGCAAGUCUUCCAUUGUGGUAGUUCCCAAAGGCAACUACUUGAAUCUCGAUCUCUAUUUGACAGAAGAUGGCUUUCCUUUUAAUCUAGUAUCCCCAUCUUCAUUGUUAAUCAUGGAAAUAAAUUGAUUUUGCAUUACA